UACGUAGGGUGCAAGCGUUAAUCGGAAUUACUGGGCGUAAAGCGUGCGCAGGCGGUCGUGCAAGACAGAUGUGAAAUCCCCGGGCUUAACCUGGGAACUGCAUUUGUGACUGCACGGCUGGAGUGCGGCAGAGGGGGAUGGAAUUCCGCGUGUAGCAGUGAAAUGCGUAGAUAUGCGGAGGAACACCGAUGGCGAAGGCAAUCCCCUGGGCCUGCACUGACGCUCAUGCACGAAAGCCAGGGGAGCAAACGGG
rnacentral:rRNA from 1 species